AUAAGUUCAUCUCACCUCACCAACCCACACAAAGGCACUUUGCAACUGCUAGUGAGUGAGUGAGUGUCAGUGGAGGAAAUGUAUUUUGUUGUCAUUUUUUUAAGGCUUGUGGAGAUUGGGAUCUUCGUUCCCCAUGUUACAUAGACAGCACUGUUCAUCUUUCUUCAACAACAACACCUCUCCUAAGACACCUGUACACUGUCCAGGAGAUCAUCUGCUACAAUUCAUUAUCCCAGAGACCUCAUCUAAGUACAGUGCUUUUAAAUCACCCCCAAACAUCACAACAACACAUAAAAACAUGCCCCAAGUCUAAUCUAUUUUACCCAACUAGUUCCAAACUUUGUCCAAGCUCAGCAGCGACUGCCUCAUCGAAGAUAGCCUGGCACUGGGUCUUGUUAGUCCUGCAAACAGAGGUGUGUGAAGCUAAUGCUCUCUGCCCCACGGCCUGCAAAACAUCUGUCAUAAUUAGGAGGAACAUCCUUCAGCCAAGGCAGGUGGAGGAGCCCCUCUGGGAGAACCUGUCCUGGUGCCAUGACUGUAUGAUAUCUACUGUAAGUGCUACAGACUUUCACCAGAUGGCCAGUGUUUGUGUAUCCAUGUGUAUGCAAACACUCACGCUGGUUUUCAGGUGUGACUUAGCAAUAAUUCAUGGGGGCUCUCACACACCUACCUGCUGGUUCAGUCACAGUGCUAUUAACCAACCGUUUAGCACCCUUGGCACUUUGGCAAGCUGGUGCCGGCAUCUCAGCCCUAGUGAUGUGGGUACAUUUUUCAUGUCUGGGAAUGAUUUUGGGCUGUCUGACGAAGGCCCUGCAGGCAGAUGAUACAUUAGAAAACACUUUUUCCUGAAAAAUAAAUAUAAGUCAGUGCACAUGGAGAAAAUAGAGUUUACUCUUUUUUUGUUCUUUUUUACUGACCGUUCCUUGCAUUAAAAAGCAUCUUCUUGGUGACUGUGUCAAGCAGAGAAAAUAACUUUGUCCUGUUUCAUAAUGGAUGCUAGUGAAUGCAUUUAGCCAUUUUACCUCAACAGGAUCACAGACAGUACAGUAAUUAUGUUUGGUGCAGAGCAGUAGCUGACAUCACAAGUGAGCAAGUGUCUUUACGAGGCAUGAACACAUUCAGAGGAAAGUGGCUCAUAAACCUUGAAGUUUUCCAACCAAAAUAAGUCCUAUGGUUUGAAAGAAUAUGGAUACAUAGUCAUGACCAAAAGUUUUGGCAGUGACAUAAAUUUUGUGCUUUACUGCUUCAGUAUUUGUAGAUAAUUUUACCACAUGUUUCUAUUGUAUACUGAAAAACUAUAAGCAUAUCAUACGUUUUAAAGGGUUUUAUUGAAAAAAAAAAAUGAUAUAAAUG
ensembl:lncRNA